CUUCUCAUUGCUAUGCUGUGGUGCACAGGAGAUGAAGCAGGACUUUUCAAAACCUCUCCUACCCAGUAAAUCACUACACAGAGCACCUCGUCAGCAGCGAGAGGGUGGCAGAAAAGAAAAUGUGGUCCAUCCAUCAGGCUGAAGGAGGGAUGUUGCACACACCACACAAAUACACACACACACGUGGAGGGAUGAGUGUGUAUGGCAGCACCUGUCCUCUGAGAUAAAGGACUCCUACAGUGGCAUCCAUCCACUCAGACAGAGCAGCAGGGAAAGAACAUGACAGACGAAUGCUCACACAAGGAAACGAGGUGGUUUGAGAUGAUGAGUGCAGCUGAUGUGUCUGUAUCUGUCUGCGCCGUGGUGACACAGCACCCUGCCCUGCCAACUCAUUGUGCUCACUGACAUUUCUCCAAAUUGAGGCUCUGACAUGAAGGACAGGGGCGGUGCAGAUGAAAGC